GGUGUGGUGGUGCACACCUUCAGUCCUAGCACCGGGAAGGCAAAGGCUGGCAGACCUCUGAAUCUGAGGCCAGCCUGGUCCACAGAUCCAGUUUCAGCACAGCCAAGGUUAGGCAGUGAAAGAAAGAAAGCUGGUGAAGAUUUCAUUGAACAAGGGGCCAUGUUCCAGCCCUAGUAGCAGAUGAAAUUGGCAUCUUCAGCCACGUGGUUCUCGAGUUAAGGAUGGAAGAAAGGGGCGGUGGAAUUUGUCCUUGGGACUAAGGAAAGCUGCUGAGGCCCAGCAUGUAUCAGGGGUUUCCCUGAAUGCAGGCCUAGACAGGCCAUUGCAUGAAGCUGUGAAGUUGAAUCCCGGAUUGCCUUGGAGACCCCAUGAUGCCAGAGUCAUGGGAUACCUUCCAAGGGGAGCUGCUAAUACUGAGUGGACUCAGCCCAAGAGAAAGAGGUAAUUACAGUUAAGAAAUUACAUGAAUAUCAGAAGAGACUUUGAACUGCAGACUUUUAAACACUGCCCAGAGCCCCGUCCCCACUGGAUGAGAUGCUGCCUUACACAUCCCUCAGUUCUCUCUGGAUGCCCCACCCACUCAUCCAAAGGCCUGCAUCACUGACGCCCCAGGGCUUUCCUAAUCUAGGUAUACUGACAGUCAAAGGAACUCAUCUACUAGACAGCUGGGUUACAUCUCGAGUACCUGUGACACAUCUGAAAACGACGUGUGGAUAAAGUGCAUGGAAACUCACAAAACUCAGUGGCAGAAAACCAAGCAUCUCAAGCCAGGACAUGACACACACCCGUGUUCCCAGGGCUUGGGAAGCUCGGGCAAGUAAACUGUGAGUUUCAGGCUAGCCUGGACUCAUACCAAAAAACAAAAAUGAACAAAAAAAAACAAUAAUGAUAAUAAAUUAAUAAAUGCACUUUACAAUGUGCUGUCACUACACACUUGUUAAAAUAGUUCAACUAAAAAAAAAACAUUGAAGCUACAGGUAUAUUGUGAUGGCUAAGGAGCCUCUGUUUUGUGCUAGGCAUCCAUUCUAAAUUCCUAAAGGAUAAAUUUCCUGACUCCUCCUGGCUCCCCAGAAUUGCGUAAGUAUUAUGAAAUGAUUAACCACUUGCUUUGGGUUCUGUAAACUCACUUAUCACUGUGUGCAGGGGGAGUCAGGCAGUUCCUCACACAGCUGUAAAUUCUGCAGAAAUUAGUGGGUUUUUUCCCUUUAAAAGCUCUUUCUUCACUUGUUUGUGGGUAGCACAUCUCUGAUUUUGGAUUAGAGACUGUGGCCUUGCUAGCAGCUUUAAUAAAUCUGGCUAACUAUAAUCUCAAUUGAGUCUGCUGGUCUUUUCCCGGUGGUCUUAAAUUCUAUAACAAUAUCUCAGUGAUGUAGUGCAUGUAAGACUGUGGCUUCAGUUCUCACUACCAAAAUGAUGAUGAUGAGGAGGAGGAGGAGGAGGAGGAAAUAAACUGGUGAGACUAUAGAAAAACUAGAUCAUUCAUUGCAUUGCUGGAAUGUAAAAGGAAUCAUUCUUUCCCCCCAUUUUUGAGCUGCUCAUGUAGCUUGUGGUUGCUGACCGUACAUGAAGACUCUGGAUUCAAAACCCGACUGUCGACCAGUUUCUUCUGUGAAGCAGAAAACCCAAAGAACCAUCCCAUCUUCUUUUGGCAAGUUCAACAGUCACUUUCCUGUGGAUCCUACAUGUCCAGUUUAUACAGCAUACCAUCAAGCAAUCAGGCAAGAGCAGUUUCUUGCCCAAAUGACUAGCAAACUCCAUAAAAAGCCUCUUCAAUGCCCAUCAUCCUCUUGAAGUAAUUGUUGCUGCCAGGAGCAGACAUGUCUCACUGUCCAGUAAAGUCUAAGAUCUUAAAACAUUUUAAUACUAUAUUGUGUAAGUUUUUGAAGUGUUGGAAAAUUAUCUAGCCAUCUGAAAUACAUCACUGCAUAUCUAGAAAACCUAAUGUGACUGUAAGUUUGACUAUUAUAGAUGACUAUUAAUUUGUAUUUAACUAUACAUUACACUUUAAAAUGAGCUGUAUAGAUAUAAUACCUUAAACAAGAGUAGAAAUAUAUAUAUAUAUAGCAUAACAAAAUUGAUCUUAAAUUUAUAUUGAUAAACCCAAAUCCAUACCAAAGUAA